rnacentral:lncRNA from 1 species
GUACAUUUAAUGAUGGCUAUUUUAUAUCAAGAUGGACAUUUAAAUGUGUUACAAAGGUAAAGUCAUCAUAAUUGUCAUGUUAAAAUAUUAUUUGUGGCUCUUUUUCUGUUAAUAUUCUACAGGAAUUCAACUACUAAAAAACAACCAUGACUGAUGACAGUAACAGUUCUCUAUAUUUUAAAUUCCAAAAUGUUUGUUAUUCAGGUAAAACUAUAAUAGUUAAGUUCAUUAUUCUUGUUACAAUGCUAACGCUAUUGACCUUCUGUUCUGGGUGUUCAACAACUAAAGUUUGGAGACCAAAACUAAAAGGUAACUGGGCUAUGAGGACAGCCAAUAUUUUGGCCCUGGCCCCUCAAGGUCAACAAAGUUCCAGGACAUGAGGGAACCUUCUCUACAGGGUCCUACAUCUUUGAAACGAUUGAGGGCAUUCACCAGCCAGACAGUCACAGAGUUCAUCAUGGCAGGGUAUCAGCCAGUACGGCAAAAGGAAGAGGUCCCCACUUGCCACAUGCCUCAUCAGAUCCAGGUCUAGCCCCGAUCUUCGCCCCUUGUCAGCAGGAAGCAGCUCCAGAAGAAGAGACCUUCGCCCAACUAUCAUAAAACAAAAGCCUGGAAUGAUAGGUCUCCCACCACCUCAGCAGCUAUUAAGUAUAGUAGCUGCCCUCUUCCUAUGGUGCCUUGCCCCCUCCCCUGUGUGACAUCAUGCCAAGAUGGUUGCUCCCACCAAAGAACAAACCCUUCUUCCCAGCAUGCCCCUGUUCCAACCUAGACAGUAACCUAAUACUUGCUCACCUCCUACCACCUAGUGACAUUACCGGCUCCUCCAUUCCCUAGUCACUACCUCACUCAACCCUGCCUCAGCCCCUACAAGCCCCACCCCAGUCUCUAUAAAAGACUCUCCCUGCCCCAGCCAUAUUGCUUUUGUCUCUCCUUUGUUCAGAGACAGCCCAGCAGAUCUAUUCCCCUAAUAAAGGCUUGUUGUGGCCUGGUCUGGUCUUGGUCUUCGGCCCUUUUAUCUGACAGUAAGGUCCC